rnacentral:rRNA from 1 species
GACGAACGCUGGCGGCGUGCCUAAUACAUGCGAGUCGAGCGGACGGAUGGGAGCUUGCUCCCAGACCGUCAGCGGCGGACGGGUGAGUAACACGUGGGCAACCUGCCUGUAAGACUGGGAUAACUCCGGGAAACCGGGGCUAAUACCGGAUAACUCUUUCCCUCACAUGAGGGAAAGCUGAAAGAUGGCAUCUCGCUAUCACUUACAGAUGGGCCCGCGGCGCAUUAGCUAGUUGGUGAGGUAACGGCUCACCAAGGCGACGAUGCGUAGCCGACCUGAGAGGGUGAUCGGCCACACUGGGACUGAGACACGGCCCAGACUCCUACGGGAGGCAGCAGUAGGGAAUCUUCCGCAAUGGACGAAAGUCUGACGGAGCAACGCCGCGUGAGUGAUGAAGGUUUUCGGAUCGUAAAACUCUGUUGUCAGGGAAGAACAAGUACCGGAGUAACUGCCGGUACCUUGACGGUACCUGACCAGAAAGCCACGGCUAACUACGUG